rnacentral:rRNA from 1 species
GACGAACGCUGGCGGCGUGCCUAACACAUGCAAGUCGAACGAGGUCCAACCGGUGGCAACACUGGUGAAGACCGAGUGGCGAACGGGUGAGUAUCACGUGAGCAACCUGCCCCAAAGACUGGGAUAACCCCGGGAAACCGGAGCUAAUACCAGAUACCCCCACCGGGUCGCAUGGCCUGGUGAGGAAAUGGAUUCCGCUUUGGGAGGGGCUCGCGGCCUAUCAGCUUGAUGGCGGGGUAACGGCCCACCAUGGCACCGACGGGUAGCUGG